UACGGGGGGGGCAAGCGUUGUUCGGAAUUACUGGGCGUAAAGGGCUCGUAGGCGGCCAACUAAGUCAGACGUGAAAUCCCUCGGCUUAACCGGGGAACUGCGUCUGAUACUGGAUGGCUUGAGUAUGGUAGAGGUUGGUGGAACUGCGAGUGUAGAGGUGAAAUUCGUAGAUAUUCGCAAGAACACCGGUGGCGAAGGCGGCCAACUGGACCAUUACUGACGCUGAGGCGCGAAAGCGUGGGGAGCAAACAGG
rnacentral:rRNA from 1 species